rnacentral:tRNA from 1 species
GUCCCGGUAGCUCAGCGGACAGAGCAGCUGCCUUCUAAGCAGUGGGUCGGGGGUUCGAGUCCCUCCCGGGGCG